GAUGAAGAACGCAGUGAAAUGCGAUAAGUAAUGUGAAUUGCAGAAUUCAGUGAAUCAUCGAAUCUUUGAACGCACAUUGCGCCCGCCAGUAUUCUGGCGGGCAUGCCUGUCUGAGCGUCAUUUCAACCCUCAAGCAACUUCUGCUUGGUGUUGGGGAUCGGCCGUCAAACGCCGCCCCCGAAAUCUAUUGGCGAUCUCGCUGUAGCUUCCUAUGCGUAGUAGUAACAUCUCGCAUCUGGAGAGCGGCGCGGUCAUGCCGUAAAACACCCAACUUCUCAGGUUGACCUCAGAUCAGGUAGGAAUACCCGCUGAACUUAAGCAUAUCAAUAAGCGGAGGA
rnacentral:misc_RNA from 1 species